rnacentral:lncRNA from 1 species
CUUUCUUUCUUUCUUUCCUUCUUUCUCUUUUCCUUCCUCCCUUCCUUCCUUCCUUCAGAAUUGAGUCUGACCCAGAGCUGUGACCUAUGCCACAGCUGCGGCAAUGCCGUAUCCUUAACCCGCUGAGCCACAGUGGGAACUCUCUUAGCAAUUUUCAAAUAUACCACACAGCAGCGUUAACUAAAAUCAUCCUGUACAUUGUAUCCCCAGAAUUUAUGCAUCUUAUUACUGGAAGUUUGUGCCUUUUUGACUACCUUCAUCCAAUUCCCCCACCCCCACCCCUGGCCUCUGGUAACCACACAUCAGAUCUCUUUCUCUAUGAGCUUGGUUAUCGCAGUUUUUUUUCUUCCAGAUUCCACAUAUCAAUAUCACAUAGUAUUUGUCUUUCUCUGUCUGACUUAUUUCACUUAGCAUAAUGCCCUCAAAGUCUAUGGGAAGACUUUGCAAAUGGCAAUAUUUCCAUCUUUUUUUAAUGGCUGAAUAUUAUCUAGGUAGUUUUUAAAAAACCUCUGUGAUCCAGGAGUUCCUGUUGUGGCUCAUGGCUUAAUGGUCCAGCUUGUCUCUGGGGAGAUGCUGUUUUGAUCCCCAGCCCCAGGGCAGUGGGUUAAGGAUCCAGUGUUGCUGUAACUGUGGUAUAGUUUACAGCUGCAGCUAGGAUUCGAUCCCUGGCCUAGGAAAUUCCAUAUGUUGUGGGGGUGGCCAAAAAGGAAAAAAGAAAUACAAUGGGAAUAUAGAUUUCUAGCUUAUUGCAUCUAUUGCUAGCUUGUUGCAGAUUUACCCUUCUGCCAAGAACAGUUUUAACAAAAACUGGAUAAAAUCAAAAGAAAAAAAACACCUUUGAUUUGAAGGCGUUGACAGUCAGGGUUUGAGGUUUCAGGAUCCUAGAGAGGUGAGAUAAACAUAAUGCAGUGGUUUGUUUUUUUUUCUCACACGCAAGUUGUUGCUAUAAAUGUGGUCUGCAAAGCAGACCAGAAAGAGGCUGAGAAGCUGAGCAUAGCUUCUGGCAAUCUUCUGGGGCUGGCGAGAAACAGACCCUGGAAUUCAGGGCUCACAAAGAGGAGAGAGUUGGGAUCGACAAAGACCACAGCCUAGGACCAGGAAGAGACCAGAAAGAGACCAACCCUCAUCAAGACCCAAAUCCAGCUCGAGUCAACUGAAGCCCUCAUCAGCUGACGCCCUCUCACGCUCUGCCAGAAGCAAGAGUAAACCCUCUCCGAAAGGAAAUAACACCAUGAAGGGCCACCAAUGUUCUCUAACGGUUUUUCAAAAACAAUAUCUG